UUUCAUGCAAGAUCUUAAAAUUUCCCUUGGAUCUAAUUCACCGUUUUUUGUUUGAAUUUACAUGAUCAAGUCUGUAUUAUGCGCGCGUAAAUUUAUACAUUAACUUAUUCACAAUUCCAAUCUAUUUUUUUCUGGAUUUUCACCCUAAAUUACCCCAAGUUUUUUUUAAGUAAUUAUUUUCCCGUUUGGAAGUUACUGGGAUUUACAAUAUCUCUUUUCCCUCGUCACUUGUAGAUCAGUGGUGCACCUUCACGCUAUUUGAGAUUGGAGAUCUGCUCUGUUGAAGUUUUGGCCUCCUCCUCUCUUUUUACUGGUACGUCGAACCUUUCCCUCUCUAAAGACUUGGCCGCUGCUGGAAGAUAAAAAGGUUCUCUCGUGGAGAAACAGCUGCUGCUUCGGGUGAUGCUCAUCGUUAUUGGAGUCGUCAAUGGCAUUGAUGGCAAUUGUGGUGGUUGAAAAAGAUUGAAGCUCGGCAACUGGUGUAGGUGUGUUUUGACAGCUAAGAGGGACACCGCUGCUGGGAGGAGGAGGUGGCGCUGCUGGUAACACCGAUGAAGAUACCCCACCGGUUUUCUGCAAGCAACAGAGAUCAUUCUUUGCAGCAUACAAGGGGAAUGCUGGACUGUGAAUUCAUUCCCAGAAUCAGAAGGGCGAGCAUUGCACACUUCUUAUGGAGGAUGGAUAGCUUUUGUUCGUGACAACAAUUAUCAAGAUAGGGGAAUCAUCCAUGUCGAAAACCAGCAUCCAAUGAUUACCUCUUGUAGCAGCGUCUCACAAUGAUCCUCCGUCGUGAGGUGCAUGGAAGAGGUCGGCUUUCACCGGACAUAUGUUUUUUUAUGGGGAGGAGUGUAAUUUGUAGAACACUAACUUCACGGCUUUUAUAAAUCUUAUUACAUGAGCUUUUUAAAUUUUUUUAA